UGUGGCCAUUGAGCACUUGAAAUACGGCUCAUCUGAACUGAUGUGCUGUAAAUGCACAACACACUGGAUUUUGAAGUGUAAUGAGAAGAUGGGUGUUUCUGUGUUGCCCAAGCUGGAGUUCGGUGGUUAUUCAUAGGCACGAUCAUAAUGCAUUACAGCCUUGAACUCCUGGGCUUAAGCGAACCUCCCACCUCAACCUGCUGAGUAGCUGGGACUAUAGUACACAGAGAUGUAAGACUUGGUCGUUAUCCAUGAGGAACUCCUGGUUAAUGAAGGAGCAGGCAGACCAACAAGGAGGAGACACACAGUGCUAGGCAGGAUGUGAGGU